AAAGAUCCCUGCCUACCUGAGGUCUUCUGAAGGAGUCUCUCAAAACUUAUACUGAAAGGUUUCUUUUAACAAAAUGAGAAAAUUCAUGAUCAAGCAUAUUAAUGUCCCGAUGAAAUGAAAAAUUAGUCAAGAGGAGGUGAAGCAAUGGAAUAAACCUAAGGAACUUUGAGCUGCUGUAUGACAGGUAGAUAUCUUGCUGUCAUGACAGCAGAGAAGCAUGAAGCAUGAACUCAAGCAUAUCCUGAAGUUAAACAAAUAAACAACAAAACCCUUAAAAACAGGUGAAGGAGGAAGAUAAAAGAAAAAUGAAUUUCCACAGUUUUAAAAACAUCUAACGAGGCUUCAGAUUCUUGUUUUUUGAGCAAGUGUUUUAAUAAUACUACUUGGAUUUGUAUACUGAUGAUCAUAGUGGAUUUUAACUCUUUGAAAACUCAUCUGACUUUCUCUGGGAUGCUGCUGGGUUUAUUAGCCAAGGAUCUUGUAUCAGAGAUAUUCCAUUUUGGGUACAGAAAGGAUUGAAGGAAUUCUUAAAUAAGAUAUACACAUUGCACAAUCUAAACCUGAAUGAAUGUAAGUCUGUAUGUAUUGCACACCUUCCUUUCUUAAAAUCAAUUUUAGAACAGCUGUUACAUUCAGCAGUAAAUAUCUCUGGCUGUCUUUCAGAGCCUUAUUCUCCCUUUUGUCAACACAUUGUCCUUUAUGCACUUGAAAAAUAUCUUUAAACCUCGACCUUUUUAAUUUUGUAUUUUUGCCUUUUUUAACAUGUUUAAAAUUUGUGAACCUCAGACUAUGGCUUACCUGUUUAAGGACUGUUGUUUUCAUACCUUCAAGUCUUCCUAAUUUCCCUUUACCUUUUUGUCAUCACUUCCUCUGCUUUCUGUGGAUAAACAUUUAGUUUGGGAAUGCGUAAUCCUUGAGAGUAGGUUAUAUAGAAAUAUUAUCCUGGGACUAACACAGUACAAAGCAACAUGAUAAAUAUCAAAAGAGCACUGUUCUUACAUAGCACUAAACACAGAGAAAAAAGGUUUGAGUGAAGACUGAAAUAAACACUAUUUCCCCAGCCCCCAGCUUGUCAUCUAAAUAGAGAGAUUGAGUGCUAGUGUUCUAUGAGGAACUGAACCACUUAUUUUGGUUUAUAUGUUAUGAUUUUAAAGUCAUUGACAGGACAAAAGGAAAUAUUUUACUGGAAUAUCUGAUAGAACAACAUACUUUAGGGAGCAGAGACCAUUCUUCAGGUUACCUUAGAGGAUUUUUAUUUUUUGAAAGGCUCCUUUUUGUCCUUUGUAAGUAGUCAGUGUCUAAUUUGGGGGAUUUAGGAAGGACAUGGAGAGUAGUACUGCUUUUGAAGACUCUUCCUCAGGAGAAGGAUCCCACGCUGCUGGUGUUCUCUUUGAUUAUCUGCUCCCUGGGAUUUUUGGAACUGUACUAUAUAAAUGUAUCCAGGCUGCCAAUUGGGCUCCCAUUCUUUUCCCAGUCCUUAGUAAUUUAUCACUAGACUUCCUGAUAAAUUAAUUCUUAAUUGAAUCUAAGCAUGGAAUAGGUCAUCCAGAAACCUAUGUCAAACUGGUUGCAUCUGGAAUUGGGAGAGAACUUAACCAAAAGCUCUGUGAUGUGGCUAUGGCUGCUCUCCAGAAUGUGUGAGAUCUGGCAAAUGUGAACAUUAGCCAGAUGAUGCAAGUAGAUUCCUGUGUCAGGUUGUCUCCCUAAAUAAACCAAAGGAUUGACGUGUUAUUGCUGAGAAUAUAGAACAUUUGAUAGCAAUGGUUUAUCUGAACUCUGAUACUGAAAAAUCUCCAUUCAGCAACAGAAUGUUGCAGAAGUGCCCUAUGCUGAAUAAAU
rnacentral:lncRNA from 7 species